AGGAUUGCACUCCUCUAAUUCAAUGGUCGUGAUCGAAGACUGAUCAUCCGACAAAUCGAGUUGUUGCAAUUUGUAGCAGUGCUUCAUCCUUAGUGCACGAAGCCUCGGGAGGCUUCCACGUUGAGGUCUCCAUUGCACCAAAUCGGUGUCUUCAAUUCGAAGUUCAAUAAGUUCCAAGAAACUCCCCGAUUUUAUUUCCCACUCUGAGCCUCGAAAGGCAUAGCAUUGUAAUGUGAGAAGCUCGAGUUUUGGCAGCAGCGAACCAAUGUCAUUUAGAGACUCCCAAGGAUAUCCCGACCCUUUCAAAGAUAACAUUAUGAGACUUGAUGGGAACAUUGAAAGAUGAAGAAUAGUAGGAAACUCACGCUUUAUCUCUGGAUUCGUGAUUUCAUAUAUAAGCGUUUUCAAAUUCUGGAGUUUUGAUAUAUAACUCAAGGAACUCAAUGGGCUGGUUUCAUCAUCAUCAUAAGGCUUCAACUCAACUUCAAUCAUUAAAUCCCUUAAAUUAGGAAUUCUUUUGAGAACUUCCCUUGUACAACUGUUUGCACUCACACCAAAAAGUGAGGUGAGUUUGUUCAAGUACAUCAUUAGAUUAGGGGUGGUCAGGUCCCUUCCCGUACUCUAAUUGUAGUUCUUGCAUGUCCAAAUUUGCAAGGCAAAGACUGAACCCCACGCUUUAAUGAUCAUAUUCUAUAAUAAUCAAGAAUUGAAGUUGAAAAAGGUUGGAUAUGGAAGCAGGGAGGUCACCGUUGUAAGUUAUGGCAAGAUAUCGUAGACAAACUAGUUUGAAAAUUUCACUUGGGAUAUGGUAAAAUCGGACAUUAAUAGCAUGCAGUACCCUGAGCAACUUCAAACCCAUGGCAUGUAUUGGUAUUGGAUAUGGGUGAUAAGGACCAUAACAAAGGAGAGAACGGACAGUGGAUGCACAAUCACUUUUUAUCGAAUCACACACUUGUUUGAAGCAGAAUAAACUGUUCCAAUGGGCACACAAGCGGCGUUGGUCUUUCAUAACAUCAUCACAACUUUGUAAGACAUGCAGAAACUUGACCCUACUAGCUUCUUCCCUACACACGUGCUGCCAACAAGAAUGCACACGAUACUUGCUAUACCAAGAUAAAUAGUCAUCCUCCUGUGAUGUGUUGAGAACAAGAUGAUACCACAUACAAAGCUUGCCAAGCAUGUCGCCAAAAAUUUCAAAACUUCUUCUCCACUGGUUGAAGAAACACUCAGCACUCAACGUAGGUUGAGUGGUAGGAAUCCAAUAUGGAGAAGCCCAUGUAGAGAAAAACAUUUUUAAAUAUUGGGUAAGUAAUCAUAGCUUGGAAAAGUACCUUUGAUAUUUGAUUAUAUGCAUCCACAAAGACUGAACUACGUUGUUUGAUGAGUAUCUCAGUCCAGUAUUCUGGGGUCUUGUCAACUUUUGCUAGGAGCUCCGCAAUUGUGACUAUCAUAAGAGGAAGACCUUCACAUUUUUUGGCAAUCUUCUCUCCGAGUUUCUCAAGUUGAGGAGGGAAACCCUCUUCACCAAAAACCUUCUCACCAAGUAGUUCCUUACUUUCUUCUUCAUUCAGCAAGCGCACUCUUUUGUACCCAUGCUGCGAGAAUUUUAUAUUAUCUCUACUUGUAAGUAAGAAUCGAAUCCUUCUACCAAUUUUCUUUUCUCGUAAGCAACUUGUCAAGCUAUGAGUUGCUUUCCAAACAUCAUCCAACACGAUGAGACAUUUCUUAUGCUUCAAUGUUUCUUUCAAUCGUCCAACUAAUUCGUCCUCAUCAUCAUCUCCUUGGAUAAGCAUUUGGUAAGCGUUGGGAUCCACUUGAGCUAGAACACAUCGUAAUAGUUCAUUAGAUUCACAUUUUCUGCCCACUUUGACCCAUGCUCGAAACUCAAAAUGGCUCCGAAUUGAUGGAUCUUCAAAAAUAUGCUUAGCAAGAGUUGUCUUUCCAACGCCCGCCAUCCCAAUAAUCGAAUAGUGUUUAUCUUCAAGAAGAUUAUCUCUUGCUUUUUGAAAUUCAUCAGAUAAUCCAACCAUCUUUGAUUUGAUUCCACCAAAAUCGAUUCUUGAGGAAAUAGGCUCGCCUUCUUCUUCUGGCAUAUUCUCCAUUUCAUAAGUGUAUUCCUCCUCCAUCUUCUUCAUCUUCUCGACGAAGCAAUCAACAUGGUGUUGCAGACUCUGCAGCUCUACAGAGAAUGACAAGUUGUCCCUCUCGCUGUCGAGUUGUGGAAGAAUCUGAGGUAAGACAUGGGAUUCGAGUAAAUCUUCAAAUUCCCAAAUUGCCUCUUUGAUUCGUUCAUCCGCAGCAUUCACCUUCGUCCUGAUCUUGCUGCAGCUGGUCUCGUCCAAUUUGAGCAGAACAUUCUGCAAGCGAUCCACCUCGUCGUAGGCAGGUAGUAAGAUCUGUGGAGAGGGGGAAAUGCAAAACAAUUGUAGAAUACAGUGAAUCGUAUUCUUGAGAAAAGUCACUGCACCAUAAUCAGCUGAGGGUAGUAUUUGUGGAGAGUGGGAAACGAGAGAAAUGCGAGACGAUUGUAGAAUACGCUCAAUCGUAUUCUUCAGAGAAUCCGCCGCACCAUAAGCCGCCAUAUCCACAAACUUAGCUCAGAAAUUUUCUUCCAAAAACUGUGUGGUAGAAAUUGCCUAAGAAAGAAACGGAGAUGAAGAAGAAUUAUAAUAAGCAAAAUGAGAUGAAACAAAUGAUAGAUCUUCUGUGCUGUACCUCUCGUGGAGGAGUUGGCACAAGUCAACGGCGGCGGCGGCGGCAGCUGGUUUUGAUACAAUCUCAGAAACAUUCAAGAAUUUUAGUAAAUGAUUUUGAUACGAUGGUAAAAUGGAUGUAUUGAUGAUUUUGAAGGCAAAUUAAGGUGUGGAAGAAUAAUUACAGGGAAGAUUAAUUAUUAUGAAGAUUGAGCAGUUGAUCAAGCGCGUUGAAAAUUAUAACAGCGGCAAGCAAUCUAACUCAUAAAUAAUGACAAUUUGACAUUUUUACAUAAUUUAAAAUUUUGAAAUAAAUAAAUAUAUUGUGGCUAGGAGUGUACAUUAAAUAAAAAUACUGAUAAAUUUCAAACAUUAAUUUUCUACAUUGUUAGAGGUGUAACUCUGUUUAAUUUAUUUGGAUUAUCGAGUUUGACAUGAAUUUUUACUUAGAUUAGCUUAUCUUUUGAAAAGUUUGAUCAUUUAUAUUUACAUGCAAUUCAUCCAAUUUUUUACUUAUAAAUUAUAUGUCAAACAAAAUUGGAUUUUGGGUGGUUGUAUAUAUAGUCCCUAAUAAUAAUAAUAAUUUUAACCUUAUAACUCCUAUUAGAAAAAUUAUACAAUUAUAAACAAAUUCUGCUUAUACUAAAUUAUCCAUGAUGCUAACAAAUUUAGGAAUUUGAAAGUUCCUUGUGUUUUGGAUUGCUGGAGUUUGCAUCGAGGUGAUUAGGCACUUUCGUUCUUUUUGGGCUUACGAUUUUGAGUUCGGCCCAUGUUUUCCUAUUUCUUUAGAAUUCUGUUUGGGCUUUGGAUCCCUUAUCGGCCCUUUUAGUUUAUUAGGUGGUGUUGUUUUUUUUUUUUUGAGGCGGUGUUGCAUGUUGUUUCAAGGGCUUUAUGUUUUAUUUUUCGAUUAAUAUUUAAUUUAAGUAAUUAAUAUCCUUUUUUAAGGGAUUUAACUAAACCGGUAAACUUAAUUUUAAUAAGUAACAGAAUAUAAAUUUUAGCGUGAGUUCGAUUAGACAUGAGAGGUGAUGUGAUCUUCAUGUAGCAUUCAAAGCAUCUUAUAGGUAACUAUGAGACAUCUUUAAUGAAAAAUCAAUAAAUAAAGCCAACUACUCAACCAUCUCUCCUGCAUUUCGACACUAUAAAUAAAGCUUGAUAUAUAUGAGAUGGAAGUAUGAUAUAUUCAUUCAGAUUAAUUGCAGCAAACUCAUCUCUGCCACCAAUCUGUAAUCUACAUGCACUAUAAACACAGAUAGAGCAGUAAAGAAUAAUUCUUGCUUGCAAACUAAAGCAUUCACUAACUGUAAGAACACAUAAAAUUCAUGCACAAAGCAAAAAUUGCAGUCCUUAAAUAAGACACUAAUGUUUUCACACAAAUUCAACUUACAACAAUUUUAGUUACAAACACCACUCAGCACUGAGGUUUCAUAAUCCUCAACAAAUGAGUAUGAACAACAAUCUCAAUAUAUCAUUUGCAAAAGAGAUGGAAAAGAAACACAAUAAACAAGCAAUCAAUCUCAGAGAAAUUGAAACAGAAAUUAAUAAGUUAAUCAUGGAUUUAAUUCAAUCUGCUCUGGUCUGAUUCUAACACCUUGUUUGAUCCUCAUAUGAAAAUCUAUCUGUAAAGCCGGUUUCUCUGUCUUUUGAGUCUAACCAACUAAUUCCAAGUUCAUUUUGAAAUAUGAAGCCAGAAAUUAACUAUUAUACUGCCAGAAUCUGAGAUUUUUAAGCUAUUAAACAAACAAAUCAACUGAUUACACACAAAUGUCAAAACAAAGUGAAAAUCAUGCAUCACAACUAAUGCUUUCACACAAAUCCAACUUACAACAAUUUCGGUAACAAACUGCAUACACAAUUCAGCAUUCAGGUUUCAUAAUCCCCAACAAAAUCCAAAUCAAGUUACAAAUCCUUAAUUCAGACGACAACGUGAUACAAUCUACAUUAUGGGAUAACGCAGCGUCUGACCCCUUCAGCUCUCCCAUUUGCCUGAAAAGUGACAGAACUGUGACUAUAACAGAAGAUAUAUAUUUAUGACAUGAAUUGAUUUGGUUUGUAUGUGAAAAAAGAGAAGAAGCAGGGAAGAAACAUUAAGACGUGAUAUAUAUUGCAAAGUAGUGAGACUAACCUGUCAGGCAAGUUGCUAAUUCACUUGAGCUCAAAAAGAAGAUUUGACGAUAAGUUUGAAGGAAAACUUAUCUUUUAAUUGAUUGGCACAAGCCACAGCUAAAGGAUUGCACUCCACUAAUUUAAUGGUCGUGAUCGAAGACUGAUCAUCCGGCAAAUCGAGCUGUUGCAAUUUGUAGCAGUGCUCCAUCCUUAGUAUACGAAGCCUCGGGAGGCUUCCACGUUGAGGUCUCCAUUGCACCAAAUCGGUGUCUUCAAUUCGAAGUUCAAUAAGAUUCAAGAAACUCCCCGGUUUUAUUUCCCACUCUGGGCCUCGAAAGGCAUAGCAUUCUAAUCGGAGAAACCCGAGAUUUGGAAGCAGCGAACCAAUGUCAUUU
rnacentral:lncRNA from 1 species